UAGGGAAUCUUCGGCAAUGGGCGAAAGCCUGACCGAGCAACGCCGCGUGAGCGAUGAAGGCCUUCGGGUCGUAAAGCUCUGUUGUUAGAGAAGAACAAGUACGAGAGUAACUGCUCGUACCUUGACGGUACCUAACCAGAAAGCCACGGCUAACUACGUGCCAGCAGCCGCGGUAAUACGUAGGUGGCAAGCGUUAUCCGGAAUUAUUGGGCGUAAAGCGCGCGCAGGCGGUCUCUUAAGUCUGAUGUGAAAGCCCACGGCUCAACCGUGGAGGGUCAUUGGAAACUGGGAGACUUGAGUGCAGGAGAGAAAAGUGGAAUUCCACGUGUAGCGGUGAAAUGCGUAGAGAUGUGGAGGAACACCAGUGGCGAAGGCGGCUUUUUGGCCUGUAACUGACGCUGAGGCGCGAAAGCGUGGGGAGCAAACAGGAUUAGAUACCCUGGUAGUCCACGCCGUAAACGAUGAGUGCUAGGUGUUGGGGGGUUCC
rnacentral:rRNA from 1 species